rnacentral:rRNA from 1 species
GAUGAACGCUGGCGGCGUGCCUAAUACAUGCAAGUCGAGCGAACAGAUGAGGAGCUUGCUCCUCUGACGUUAGCGGCGGACGGGUGAGUAACACGUGGAUAACCUCCCUAUAAGACUGGGAUAACUUCGGGAAACCGGAGCUAAUACCGGAUAAUAUAUUGAACCGCAUGGUUCAAUAGUGAAAGACGGUUUUGCUGUCACUUAUAGAUGGAUCCGCGCCGCAUUAGCUAGUUGGUAAGGUAACGGCUUACCAAGGCAACGAUGCGUAGCCGACCUGAGAGGGUGAUAGGCCACACUGGAACGGAGACACGGUCCAGACUCCUACGGGAGGCAGCAGUAGGGUAUCUUCCGCAAUGGGCGAAAGCCUUACGGAGCAACGCCGCGUGAGUGAUGAAGGUCUUCGGAUCGGAAAACUCUGUUAUUAGGGAAGAACAAAUGUGUAAGUAACUAUGCACGUCUUGACGGUACCUAAUCAGAAAGCCACGGCUAACUACGUG